rnacentral:rRNA from 1 species
GACGAACGCUGGCGGCGUGCCUAAUACAUGCAAGUAGAACGCUGAAGGAGGAGCUUGCUUCUCUGGAUGAGUUGCGAACGGGUGAGUAACGCGUAGGUAACCUGCCUGGUAGCGGGGGAUAACUAUUGGAAACGAUAGCUAAUACCGCAUAAUAGUAGAUGUUGCAUGACAUUUACUUAAAAGGUGCAAUUGCAUCACUACCAGAUGGACCUGCGUUGUAUUAGCUAGUUGGUGGGGUAACGGCUCACCAAGGCGACGAUACAUAGCCGACCUGAGAGGGUGAUCGGCCACACUGGGACUGAGACACGGCCCAGACUCCUACGGGAGGCAGCAGUAGGGAAUCUUCGGCAAUGGACGGAAGUCUGACCGAGCAACGCCGCGUGAGUGAAGAAGGUUUUCGGAUCGUAAAGCUCUGUUGUAAGAGAAGGACGAGUGUGAGAGUGGAAAGUUCACACUGUGACGGUAUCUUACCAGAAAGGGACGGCUAACUACGUGCCAGCAGCCGCGGUAAUACGUAGGUCCCGAGCGUUGUCCGGAUUUAUUGGGCGUAAAGCGAGCGCAGGCGGUUAGAUAAGUCUGAAGUUAAAGGCUGUGGCUUAACCAUAGUACGCUUUGGAAACUGUUUAACUUGAGUGCAAGAGGGGAGAGUGGAAUUCCAUGUGUAGCGGUGAAAUGCGUAGAUAUAUGGAGGAACACCGGUGGCGAAAGCGGCUCUCUGGCUUGUAACUGACGCUGAGGCUCGAAAGCGUGGGGAGCAAACAGG